AAUUUCGUAGCAUUUUAAUGGACAACGGAAAAUGCGUAAAAUGUUGCUGUAGUACGUUACCAAUGGCCCUGAUGCUACCAUGCCGUUGUAGAAGAUCAUAUAUUCGACGAGGAGAGUAACAUCAAAAUUGACCAAUUCAUGAAGAAAGUCCUUGUCUGGCAGGCAAUUGGUUCCUGUGGCCUUAAAAAGUUUGUUCUAUUUUGCGACAUGAACUUUGGUUGCGACAUUUACAGAAAAUAAUGCAUCUAAUAACGAGUACUUUCCGUCUAUCAGACGCAUAAUGUCACCUCUUCAUUUCGGCCUGAUUUGGCAAGUGCCCACUAUGCUGGUCAGAAAGUGAAGCUACUGAAUUUGAAAAACAUUGAUUUCGUUCAAAAACAAGUCAACUCAUCUAAUUGCCCGGAGCUCCACUCCAUCGAGUGGCACUAGACCAAUGUGAAGAUGCACUUAAAAAAGGGUAGAUGAGAAGCUAAAACAUUGAAAGAAUUCAAACGAAUGUUGUUUACAACUUGUCAAAAAGUGUCAAAAAUUUAUGUGCAGGCACUUGAACGGCGCAACCGUGUAAAAGUACGAAAAUCUUACCGAUGUUAUUAUAUUAUACUAUAUUUACAUUAAAAUGUUUUGUGUUGGUUUCCGUUUUUAUUAUAUUUAUCUAAAUAAAGCGAUUCCAGAAUUAGAAAAAUGUAAUUUAUACUUUUUUGUGUGUCCGCUUAAUAAAAUGAACAGUCCUUAUAAACCCAGUCACUGCGAAAUCCAACUUAAAAGCAAUGUUGGGUGGUGUUUUAUUAAGUACUUGUAGAUUUUUAUUACGUAAGUAGGUAAUUAAUGUCAAUAAUUUCAAUAAAUAAAGCAUGUAACUGCAAUCUAUGUGGUUUGAUGAUUGACUGAACCUAAGUAUGUUCUCGUAUGAGCAAUAUGAGCAUAAAACAAAGCCAUAAGUACCUACGUGACAGAUUAAACAUGGGUGCCGAAUUAUAAGUAGGUACCUACUUAUCUACCAUAAGUUUAUGAGCUAUGGUUGAAUAUUCAUAUAACCAAAUGCAAUGGAUUAUCUGCUCUCAUUUUAUCGACGCGUAUUAUUUAUAUGUUCCAAUUUUCUUCCGUAUCAAAAUUGCUAUAAUAACUCCGUGGAAUUUCAACGCAUCAGUUACUGUAGACAUAUUUCAUAAAAGGUAGCUGUAUUGUUAUUCUCGAAAUCGGCAAUGUAUGUUGUUGAUAUUAUCUGGUUUAUUUAUUAUUUCGCGAGUGCACCGCUAGUUUAAUUGUAACAGCGCCAUCGAACGUAAGUUCCGUAAUUACAGUCCGCGAUAUUCAGAUAAAUCGUCCGAGAGAUUGGACGAGUGCGAGCAUCGCUGGGGCUCCUAUCGCGCAUGGACGCGCGGGCGGUUGGGGUCUCAGGUGAACCAGUAUAAGUGUGAACUCCGACGUACGAAACCUUGGCAGAAAUAAUGUGUUUAACUUUUAAUCAAGUAUGUAUAGGUGUUUGUAAGUGAUUUGAAUGUCUCCCAAAGAAAAUCGGUAAUUUUUUAAAGCAGUUUUAUUUUGUAGUGCCUUUAGUAAGUACUCGUAGUAACUAGUGCUUAUCCCCUACAUAUCUACCUUUCAGUUUUCUUACAAACUUGUACAUUGUUUGAAGUUGAAAGAACUAUUUUUUUUCUAGAGUUAUAGAUUGUAACUUUACAAUUUCGUGAUCGAUUAACGCAUUCUUAACAAGUUAUACUCGUAUUAUAAAUAGUUGUAGUAUAUAGUAUCGAGUCCACAGUUAUACAGGUUCGGUUUAGUCGAUAACUCGCCUGUAUUCGUAGCGAUUAGAAUACGCGGGCUUCUCGUGCGUCUGUCUGUACGUCCCUUCGAUGACUUAUCGACCAUUACUGUUACACUAUCUCGAAAGAUCCUUUUCACCAAUCAUGCUAAUUUUUAAAUUACAAUUAAUUCCUUUUAGUGAGAUAUGUAUAUAUUAAGUAAAUGGAAUAACAUACAAAGUAUUUAUAUGUAUUAUUUAAAUGUCAGGCGAAAUCUCGUAUUUUUACUCCGAUGCGACCGAUUGACACUGAAAAAAAUGUUAAGUAGGUAUGUACCAUGUAGGUUCUACUUAAUUAAAAUACAAUGAAAGCAUUUUAUGUUACAUAAAUUAAUACUUAUUCAUUUAUAUUUAGGUACAUACCUACAUAUUAAUGAUAAAUUAAUGUGUUGUGUAAUUAGUGUUAAUUAAAAUUUACAAGUUUUAAGUAUUUACUCAUUGCGCUUGUGUUUACAGUAUGCCUACAUUGUAUCCUUUUAUCAUAUUUUUACAGAUUUAUAUACAUAUACGUAGAUACCUACACCUCCUAUACCUCUGGGUUGGAAGGUCAGAUGGCAGUCGCUUUCGUAAAAGCUAGUGCCUACGUCAAAUCAUGGGAUUAGUUGUCAAGCGGACCCCAGGCUCUCAUGAGCCGUGGCGAAAUGCCGGGAUAACGCGAGGAAGAAGAAGAGAUACGUAGAUACCUACAGUGAUAUCCACUAUUAGGUACAGAGAAAGUAACUUGAGAGUAGCUUAAAAGAUGUCUUGCAAAUCAGGCAUUGUUCGUAAAAUGAAUAAUACAAUUAUUAGUUAGAAGUAUGAAAAUAUAACCUGGUGGUAACUAAUAGGUACACAUUUUUUAUGACGAGUUAAUUUUCUUCUCAAGAUCAACUCACAUUUUACCGGUUUGAUUAUUUGUUCUCAGGCAGUAUUUUUUGAGGUUUAUUUUAUUGUUAGUUUGUUCCCUUUAAAAUUAUUAUUAAUUUCUAACAGCGCAUCAUACCAAAUAUUUAUAAUAUAAAUAUUACAUAAUACAAUACAUAUUAUGUAAUAAUAAAUUACUAUGUCAACGUAUGUAUUAUGUAAUAAUAAAUAUUAUUAAUAUGUCAACUGCCGACAGGCAGACAGCUGAGGCUUUGUAAUCUGGUUCAGUUUGUCAUCCGUAUGGUAUGGAACCCUAAAAACGCAAUACAACCUGUAAUAUUAAGUGAAGAUUAAUGUGUAUCGUGUAAUCUGCUGGAAUGCUAACUGUCGACAGAAAUACAUUCGAAAAGAAAUUGUUAAUCGUAAAACAAUCGCGUUUAAUACGCAGGCAAUAUUUACAGAGGGAAAUUAAUGAUGGCCGCGCGCGGCCGCGGGGCCCGUAGGCUCGUUACUUUUGGCUUAACCAGAUUGUAUCUCGAAAUAAAUAUGCAAGGGCUAAUUGAAAUAAUCUUAAUUUGUGUAAUAUUUAUUUAUAUUUUCAGAUUUGUUAACUUAUUUAAAAAUCAUUUCGUCAUUUAUAUUUUAUUUAUGUAAAAAAAUAUUAUUACUUACCUACUUCAUCUGUAUGUUAUGUUUAAGGUAUAAUGAAUAAGUGACCAAGUGACUCUCUGUAAUUACCAUUAAAAAUUGGUAUUAAAUCGAAGGUAAUAACUGUUAUAAGUAUUAAAAACUUUUACUACCAGUAUUUUUUUUGUCAGUAAAAUUAUACUAGUAUUAGUAUCCUAGGCAAGGGAAUAAUUAUGUAGUUAUGAUCUGCAGGUUUAAUAAUAAAUAAGCAAUAACAUGUUAAUAAAACAGUGGCCACACCGCGCACAACGCUAUUUAGUAACUUGUUUUUAAUAUCAGUAGAAUAGGUAAUGUUAGUAAUGAUUACCAAUUACCAUCAGAAAUUGAAAGGUCCGAGAAAUCUUUCCGGUGAAUAGAGAAACUAGGACUUAUUGGGAAUUGUUCGAUUAUAAUUUUCUGACAGAUGUUUUUCAGAAGUAUGGACACUGCAAAUCAGAAUUUUAGAUGUGUCUGAUCUGCGAUGGCUCUUACUUAACGUGUCAUUGGUUAUUGUGAAACAAAACAAGAACUUAUUAUAAGUACUUAUAGCAAAUUGAAUUCCGUCAUUCUCGUCUCGAACAUAAUUAGAGCGGUCAAACUUACUUACCCUUAUAAAUAUAUGUAAUGGAAUUUAACAUUGUAACAUUUCCUCGAAGGAGGCCUUUUGAACACUAGCGUGAAAUCUUCGUUUCGUCCGUGUGUGUAGUUAAGGAUGCAGAGUGCCUUAUGGAAAUGAAUUUUGCUACCGUGAAAUACGAAGUGUUUGUACGAAAAUUUAUAUACAAUGUAAUGUGUAUUUUGCAAACAUACUGAAAAACACUACAUUUCAUUAUUAUACGUGUAAUAAGUAUAAUAGUCUGUUAAAUUUAAAUCUAUUGGAAUGUAAGCUUAUUAUUAUUAACACAAAAUAAAGAUAUAAGAUUUUA